CACAUCAUUUUACCUUCUCCAAAUUGACCAUAUCGUCAGACAUAAAGGAAGCCUCAACCAACACAACAACAUCGAAUGAAUCCCAUGCUUUACAUCUGACACUGUGGAUGAAGACUGGUCUUCAAUAUCAACAAAACUAAGAGGCAGCCCACAUACACAUGGAAACUGAACAACGCUCUACUCGGUGAUAUCUUGGUCAAGGAAAAAUAAAGAAAUUAAAGCCCUUUUGGAAUUUAUGAAAACUGAAGAGACAACAUAUCCAAACUUAUGGGACACAAUGAAAGCAGUGCUUAAAAGGAAAAUUCAUAGCUCUGUGUGCCUCAAUAAAAAAAUUGGCGAGAUCAUACACUGGCAGCAUUACAACACAUCUGAGAUCUUUACAACAAAAAGAAGCAAAUACAUCCAAGAGGAAUAGACAGGAGGAAGAAAUCAAACUCAGGGCUGAAAUCAACCAAGCAGAAACAAAAAGAACUAUAGAAAGCAUCAACAAAACAAGGAGUUGGUUCUUUGAGAAAACUCAACAAGAGAUAAAUCCUUAACCUAACUAAGUACAGGGAACACAGGCAGUAUCUAAAUUACAAAAAUCAAAAGUGGAAAAUCCCAUUGGGGAGAGGGCUGGUCUCUUAGUGUAGCCUGAGCUUUUCCUCAGGAGCUUUUCAGUUCAAAACCACAUCCUGGGUUGACACACUGUAGUGAGGAAAACAGCCAGAAGCCAAAGGACAGAAGCCCAAGAGCAAGAUAACUCGAGGAUACAUCUGGAAUCUUUGGGCAGCUGCAAGCAACAGACAGCAUAGAGGAGGAAGUUGGAACCCUUGAAGAACUCAGAUGGCCUGACCUUCAGCUUCUUGGACUCUGCCCUGAGUGUUGCAUGAGCCUCAUGCUAGUGUCCUAUGUGUAUAUAAUGGUUAAUGAAGA
ensembl:lncRNA